rnacentral:rRNA from 1 species
AACGAACGCUGGCGGCAGGCUUAACACAUGCAAGUCGAGCGCCUCGCAAGAGGAGCGGCAGACGGGUGAGUAACGCGUGGGAAUCUACCGUGCCCUACGGAAUAGCUCCGGGAAACUGGAAUUAAUACCGUAUACGCCCUUCGGGGAAAGAUUUAUCGGGGUAUGAUGAGCCCGCGUUGGAUUAGCUAGUUGGUGGGGUAAAGGCCUACCAAGGCGACG